rnacentral:ncRNA from 1 species
GCAGAGUAGACAGUCGUGCGUUAAGUGCUGCCGGGACGGGGAGUUGCCGGGCAGACGAAGGGAUUUUUCCGCGGUACGGCAGUCGCAUCCCGCUGC